GCGGGAGUAGCACAGUGGUAGUGCGCCAGCCUUCCAAGCUGGAUACGCGGGUUCGAUCCCCGUCUCCCGCUCCA
rnacentral:tRNA from 1 species